rnacentral:lncRNA from 1 species
CAACUCUCCUCUCUCCCUCAAUAAGCUCACGGCCGAACAACCCCCUCCCCACACUCACCAUUUUCAUUUUUGUUCAUCCAAUCCAAGCUUCAUACAAGGUGCACAAAGGUGAUUAAGAAGGUGUGGAACUCUUGGAUCUUGAAGAACCACCUUUGUUAGCUUUUAUCCACUCAAUCUUCAUCUUGUUUCUUCCCUAGCUUGAAGCUAGUAGUAGUCGUGUUUGCUGAAGGGAUUGAGUUACGAUACUGAAGACGCAAUACACUGAGUUCAUGCUCCCCCCUUUUUCUCUUAACUGUUUUCAGUUUUAUACUUCGGGGGCGAAAUACAUGUUACGAUUAUUACAAACAUUUUAUACAUGGUAUGGUUAGCUAAGGAGGGUUACUACUAGAUCAUGUGAAUGAGUAGGGCGAUUAAGGCCAUCAAUCCUCGAUGUAGGACCAAGGGGCAUGAGUGAUAGAUCUAUUUGGGUGUAGCGAGCCCCACCUCCGAGUCCGCUGUGUGGACCAUGUGGUGACUAUGUCUUACAGCCAGAAGCCCGGUGCGAAAUCUGCUAUGUUUGAGUCUUCCUGCAUCACUUCACACAUACCAUUGGCUUUGCAACCCAGUGGGAAAUUGUAAAGUGGAUCUGGCGGGCGUUGGAAGUUUUUAUGCUGCGUUAAGAAUAAAGAUGUCAUCCAUGGUCUUUGAGUUUGGUUAGUGUGUCUUAUUCCUGGACGAGACACGUCUUCCAAACCUUGGUGUUAUUCAUUAACUUUUGACGAGUCUUUAAUGAACUCAUAAACAAGUUGUAUGAUUUGUAAAACUUGAACUUGAAGUCUACGUUUCAAAAUGAUGUUGUUAUGUU